GACGAACGCUGGCGGCGUGCUUAACACAUGCAAGUCGUACGGUAAGGCCCUUUCGGGGGUACACGAGUGGCGAACGGGUGAGUAACACGUGAGUAACCUGCCCACAACUUUGGGAUAACGCUAGGAAACUGGUGCUAAUACUGGAUAUGUGCUCCUGCUGCAUGGUGGGGGUUGGAAAGCUCCGGCGGUUGUGGAUGGACUCGCGGCCUAUCAGCUUGUUGGUGGGGUAGUGGCCUACCAAGGCGGCGACGGGUAGCCGGCCUGAGAGGGUGACCGGCCACAUUGGGACUGAGAUACGGCCCAGACUCCUACGGGAGGCAGCAGUGGGGAAUAUUGCACAAUGGGCGCAAGCCUGAUGCAGCAACGCCGCGGGCGGGAUGACGGCCUUCGGGUUGUAAACCGAUUUCAGCAGGGACGAAGCUUUUUGUGACGGUACCUGCAGAAGAAGCACCGGCUAACUACGUG
rnacentral:rRNA from 1 species